rnacentral:lncRNA from 1 species
CCGGAGAAGUUUCAUGUUCAGUUUGGAAAGUUUUUCUUUUAUUUUAGAUACAGCGCGCGCGCAAGAUUGAGGAGACAUCACGUGACGCGGGUUUAUAUUAAGAAAAACUUCGUCUUUUUAUUUCUUUUUAGGUGGGGACGUUGAACAGACAACAUGUAUAGAGACGGAAUGUACACAAUGUAAUUUCUUUUGUCAUUGUAGGAAUUGACAUUUUGAUCACAGUUCACCAGCAGUGCAUGUUUUGGAUUUAAUCGAUCCGGUGUAACUUAAAAAACACAUUUAAUGAUUAUUUUUUG